UCUUAAGACGGCAAUUCUCCCCAGACUGAUCUACAGAUUAAAUCAAUCCCUAUCAAAAUCCCAAGCGGUGUUUCUGUAGAAACUUAGAAAUUAAGCCUAAAAUUCAUAUGGAAAUGCAAAGGACCCAAAAGAGCCAAAACAAUUCUAAAAAACGAGAAAAUGGGAGAACGUUUACUUUCCAAUUUCAAAUUUACAAUAAAUUGAAAUUACUAUAAUCAAGACAGUGUGGUACUAGUAUAAGAAUAUGGCCGGGCGCGGUGGCUCAAACCUGUAAUUCCAGCACUUUGGGAGGCUGAGGCAGGUGGAUCAUGAGGUCAGGAGUUCAAGACCAGCCUGGCCAACAUAGUGAAACCCCAUCUCUACUAAAAAUACAAAAAAUUAGCUGGGAGGCAGAACUGCUUGAACCCAGGAGGCAGAGGUUGCAGUGAGUGGAGAUAGCACCACUGCACUCCAGUCUGGGCAACAGUGUGAGACUUUGUCUCGAAAAAAAAAAAGAAUAGACACACACUGUAAUGGAACAAAACUGAGUCCAGAAAUAAACCCUUAUUUGUAAGGUCAAUUGCUUUUCAGCAAAGAUACCAAGAUAAUUCAAUGAAGAAAGAUAAUCGUUUCAACAAAUGGCGCUGGGAUAACUGGCUAUCUAUAUGCUAAAUAGGUGAAUUUAGACUUUUACCCACAACAUUAAAAUUUUAAAAAUUAAAACUCCAGGAGGCUGAGGCAGGAGAACAGCUUGAACCCUGGAGGCAGAGGUUGCAGUGAGCUGAGAUCGUGCUACUGCACUCUAGCCUGGGCAACAGAGCGAGACUCAACCUCAAAAAAAAAAUUAAAACUCAAAAUGGAUUUGAGACCUAAAUGUAAGCACUCAAACUUAAAACUUCUAGAGGAGAACACAGGAGAAAAUUGUCAUGACCUUACCUAGGCAAGUAUAUUUUGGAGAUGACAUUAAAAAACAUAAUCCAUAAAAGAAAAAAAACUCUAUAAAUUGAAAAAUCAAAAUUAAAAACUUUUACAGUUCAGGAGUCACCAUAACCCACAGUCUGGGAGAAAAUAUUUAUAAUGCAUAUAUCUGAUAAAGGACUUAUAUCCAGAAUAUAUAAAAAACUCACAACUCAAUAAGACAAUCCAACUAAUAAAAUGGGCAAAAUAUCUGAAUAUAUUAGUUCAUUCUCUCACAUUGCUAUAAAGAAAUACCUGAGACUGAGUAAUUUAUAGAGAAAAGAGGCUUAAUUGGCUCAUAGUUCUGCAGGAUGUACAGGAAGCACAGCAGCUUCUGCUUCUGGGGAGGCCUCAGGAAGCUUCCAAUCAUGGCAGAAGGCAAAGGGGGAGCAAGGAGUCUCACAUGGUGGAAGCAGGAGCAAGAAAGAGAAGGGGGAGGUGCCACACACUUUUAAACAGCCAGAUCGCAAGAGAACUCACUACCACAGACCACAGUACCAAAGCGGAUGGUGCUAAACCAUUCAUGAGAAACCGCCCCCACGGUGACUAGGACUCGUACUCCCAUGGAGCAGGCCCAUCACACCCUACCUC
rnacentral:lncRNA from 1 species